rnacentral:tRNA from 1 species
CAAGAAAUAGUUUAUUUAAAAUAUUAAUUUUGGGGAUUAGUGAAAAAGAUUAUUUCUUUUUUCUUGA